rnacentral:lncRNA from 1 species
UUUAAACAACGGAAUUUAACAUAAGCGGAAGAAAAAAAAAGCUAUCAGAACAUGAAUCCAAUACAACUGUUUGAAUCUCGACUACCCAGAACUGGUGUUACAUUUUCACAGACGGUCUAAGAACACUACAAAUAAAGGUCUGAAAGAAAUAAAUACAACACUGUCUCUGGAAUUGCAUGAAAGAAACAGGAAUAGUAGAUGGAAGGAGACGCCAAGGCCUGCGGGCGCUUGCAGGGCUACCUCGGGUCGCCUGAUGAACAAGAAUCAGCAAUCCCACCGCGGUCCGAAGUCUACAACACUAGGGUCUGCACAAAAGAGUGCAGAGUGUAGUAUCAGCACAACCGACCCCAUGUGCUGGUAAGUGCCUAGCCUAACCUCGGCGAAGUAGUGACGGGGCUAGGACCAGACUACCAAAUAAACCUGUGCAGUAUAUAAUGUACAUCGGAAAAUAAAACAGAAAUGAACAAGUAAGGAUGAGAGGGGCAUGCUAUGGGGGUAUACCAGUAUUAACAGUAAAUCAAGAGUAACAGUCUAAGGGCAGCUUAGAAUUCACAGCAAAACAAAAGAAACUAAUAUCCAAGCUAAACACACUUGUAUCAAUAAUUGUUGCGGCGCGCAACUCGAUCCACAAAUAUCUUUGUUGCGGUGUGCAACCCGAUCCAUAUCAUUUAUCAUUGUUGCGGCGUGCAGCCCGAUCCACAAAUAUCUUUGUUGCGGUGUGCAACCCGAUCCAUAUCAUUUAUCAUUGUUGCGGCGUGCAACCCGAUCCACAUAUAAUAUUUACAAUUAUAAUGAGAGUCCCGACAAGGGAUUAAUAAGGUCUACACUACCCCGGCAAGAGAUCCGACAGCAUAAGUAAUUACGUCCCGGCAAUGGUGAAACAACUAUAACCAAACUUGUUCCUCGAGAAUAACCAUAAUCCUUACCCAACGCAAAGAAUCAUCAACCUAAGCAUCUGUAAUAUCAACUAAGAACACAAUGCAAGGGAACCACAACUCAACAAUAGCCCGGCAAGGGGGAAACAUAAUGGUCUCUUCUCUUUCUCACCUUUACUUCACAAUUCAUUUCACAACUCGAGCCAAUGCUCUAGAGGUUCAAUUAUCACUUAUACUUUAACAAUUCGUUAUACAACUUGAGCCAACACUCCUCAAUGUUCAUAGGUCACAAUUCUUUCCACAAACUUAAAACAACAAUAGAAACCAUUACCAAGGCAUGAAUAACAUAAUGAAGUCAUGAAAAUCACAAUAUAAGACUCACGGUCAUGCUCGACACCAGCGUAUAGAUACUCGUCACAAUGCCUAUACGUCGUACUCAACAAGAAACAAAUAGCAAAUAGGACACAAUUCCUAAUCCCUCAAGCUAAGGUUAGACCAAACACUUACCUCGAUGCCACGAACAUAAUUCAAGCCCCAACUAUAGCUUUACCUCGUGAUUCCACCACCAAUUCGCUUGUAUCUAGUCACAAGUUACUUAAUUAUAUCAAUAAACGCUAAAUAAAUCAAUUUGAAUGCAUAAAAAUGAGUUUUCCAAAGUUAUUCCCAAAAAGUCAAAAUUUGCCCCCGGGCCCACAUGGUCAAAACCCGAGGUUCGAACCAAAACCCGAUUACCCAUUCCCCCACGAACCCAAAUAUAUAAUUUAUUUUGAAUUCGGACCUCAAAUCGAGGUCCAAAUCCCCAAUUUUUGAAAAACCUAGGUUCUACCCAAAACACCCAAUUUUCCCCAUGAAAAUCAUUGAUUUUAAGUUGAAAUCAUGUUAAAAGAUGUUAAUGAUUGAAGAAAAUGAGUUAAAAACGACUUACAAUUGAUUUGGAGAAGAAGAAGCCUUUGAAAAAUCGCUCUAGUGUGUUUAUGUUUUGAGAGGAUAUGAAAAAUGAGUUUAAAAUCAUCUAAGUAUAAAAGUUCCAGGUCUCAGAUGUGGGAAUUGCGUAUUGCGAACCUCGACCUCUGCUGGCUUGGAAAUUGCGAAAGGAAGCUUGCAUUUGCGAACCCUUAGGAAAUCUGGAUUUUUCUCAUUUGCGAAAGGGACCCUCGCAUUUGGGAGGUCGGAAUUGCAGAGCACAACUCGCAUUUGCGAGAUAAGGCAGGACUGGGCUGGUUCGCAUUUGCGACCAAGCCCUCACAUUUGUGAUAUCGUAUUUGCGAGCCAGGCUUCGAAAAUGCGAAGCCUACAGUCCUGAUCAAACCAGCAAAAAUCCUGCAAUUUUUCUAAGUUCAAAAUGCACCCCAUGGCCUAUCCAAAACUCACCCGAGCCCUCGGGGCUCCAAACCAAAUAUACACACAACCUCAAAAACAUCCUACGGACUUAUUCGUAUACUUAAAUCACCAAAAUAACAUCAUGAACAUCGAAUUAAACCUCCAGAUCAAUGAAAUUUUCUCAAAACUUCUUUAAACAUCAAAUCUGCAUUUAAGGUCCGAAUCACGUCAAACAAAUUUCGUUUCUCACCAAACUUCACAGAAUUAUCUUAAAUCACAUUAAGACCUGUACCGGGCGCCGAAACCAAAAUACGGGCCCGAUACCAACAUGUUCUAAUCAAGAUUCAUUUCCAAAUCCUUUAAACAAUUUCAGAAAAUAAUUUUCUUUAAAAAUUCAUUUCUCGGGCUUGGGACCUCGGAAUUCGAUUCCGGGCAUACGCCCAAGUCCCAUAUUUUCCUGCGGACCCUUCGGGACCGUCAAAUCACGGGUAUGAGUUCGUUUACUUAAAACAUUGAUCGAGGUCAAAUUAAUUCAUUUUAUAGUCAAAAUUUAUCAUUUUCACAGAUUUUCACAUUUAGGCUUUUCGGCUACAUGCCCGGACUGUGCACGCAAAUCGAGGUGAUACUAAAAGAGGUUUUUAAAGCCUCAAACACAGAAUUCCUAUUAAAAACAAGUGAUGACCUCUUAGGUUAUCACAAUGCUCUCUUCAACUCUUCUCUAAUCUAAAUAUGACUUUCCCAAGAAUAGCAUAAAUAGUAAAUAGAACCUAACUGCUAGCCAGACAAUUAAGCAAUUAAUCACAAAUUAAAAAAAUAACAAUAUAAUGGUGAAUUAUAAUCAAGGUUAAGUCAACGUUAAACAACAAUAUUCAUGGCUAAAUCACAACCUUAGAACUAUGGGUUUAGCCACUCAUGAUAGUAUCAAACAAAUGCAUAAGUUUUGGAUAAUUGAAAAUACUAAGAAAAGAUGAAGAAAUCUGAGAUAUCCUUGCUCCCGAAUGUUACUCGUGUGUCUCUAGAUCUAAAGUGUGUCAAAAGUUCAAAAAAUAACGUUUUUCCAUGUAUUUAUACCGGUCAGACCUAGACGAAAUCUCCCUUUCCUAGCCGAAAUAAGAAAACUUGCAAACUUAAUGCUUUCCAUGUGUCGCACUGUGUGUCGCCCAGUGAGUCACACUAAUGUUUUUUUUCGGUCAGACCAUAAAAAACCCAAUCUCUGAACUUUGGAAAUUUCUGACAAAAAUUUGCACUAAUGUGUGUCACACCUCCUUUUUACACCCUGAGAGGGUAUAAAGAAGUUUUUCCAAUUAAAGUGACAUAAAUCGAAAUGAGAUUAAUUAAUUUAUCAGAGUCGCCACUUGAAAUAGUUUAUUUGGUGUUCCAAGUCACCGAUUUAUUUUAAAAUCCCAAAUCGAGGAAAUUUCGACUUUACUUUAUAAGUCUGUGAACCAGAAAUUCUAGAUAAGGUAUUUUGUUAACCCAGGAGAAUGUGUUAGCCAUUACGGGGUUCCGUGGUUCUAGCACGGUCACUUAAACUAUUAACAUUGGCCUAUUAUCUAAUUUACUAUACAUUUUAAAUCUAUUGUGCAUUUUUUUAGAUUUAUAACCGCCUUUUAAUUAUUUUAACCACUUUUAGGAUUUAUGAAAUUAUUUCUUAAACAAGUUACGAUUGUCGUACACUUGUUUGUUUUGGAACACGCCGCAAACCACGCUAUAUGAAAUGCACCCGUGAUUUACGACAUGUGUAUUUUAUCAAUAUUCGAAGUUGUUAUGAUCGGGUUACAUGAAAUGCACCCCCGAAUUUGGGAAUUAGGUAUCAUGACUAUGCCAUGAGAACCGUACCCAUAGUCACGAUAGUUAAUUAAUCGCGCCUAAAGCAUUUCUACGAGUAUUUGAUUAAGGCGUAAUUUUGAAGUGCACCUAAAGAAGUGAUUAUAUCACUAAACUAUUCUACAUCAUGUAGCUAGGUGUAAAGGUACAAUACUACAUGAGAUAUUUAUUAAAUGUGGCAACUUUAUUUAUUAAAUGCCAAACAAGCCAAGAUUUUGAAGUUUGGGGCCUGACAAAGGUUGAAUCCAAAUGAAAUCUAACUCAAGACAUAUAUUGUCUAUUAUUCAAACAGCUAAAUUAAUUCUAAAAGAACUUGGGCCCGACUUAAUUCAGAUGAAUCUGGCCCAAAUAAAUUGUUAAGUAAUUACUCAAUUUAAACGUAAUACAUUCAAGAAGAUUUGAGCCUACUAAUGAGUACAAGUAACUCUGGCCUAAAAUCUAUUUGUGGACAAAUAAAUAAACUUAAUAAUGAGUCCAAGUGAAUUCUAGUCCAACACAUAUUUGAAGGAAAUUUAAAAUUAAUAUUCCUAAUGACAAAAUGCAGGAUUUUAACUAUAUUUUUGUUUAUCUUUUGAAACAGAAAACAAAAAGGGUUUGAAUAAAUCAAAAUCUGUUAAAUUUUAACAAUCUUCCUACUAAUUUGCCUAAGUCUUUAUUUUCGAAAUGCUGAUUUUGAAGCUUAUUUGUAUUUCAAAAAUCUUGAAGUGUAAAUGCUAUUGAUCAACUCAUUUUAUUUUUGUAAAAAUCAGAACACAAAUUCAUAAACCCAAUUGGCUUUGGGCCUGAAAAUGUAUUAUGGUUAUUACUUAGUUACUUUGUAAAAAUCUGAUUUUAUGACUUUAAGGUAAUAAUAAUCCAACAUUAUUUAACUAUUAAAAAAUAGUAUGGUAAAUUACUAAUCUAUUAAGCUGGUUUAACACAUAAUAAAAUGCAGUAAAAUUAUUACAUUUUUUGCUAACUGAAUAACCAAAUUGCCUAUUGCUAUUCUAACAGAAUUUCUGGAAAAUGAUUUAUGUGAUACUACUACAUAUGAACAUACAAAUUUUAUAAAUGUAUGAAUCUUUAAGCAGAUUCUAUAAUUUUCAGAACACUUUUAAACUAUUACAUUUGCCUAAAAUAUUGUAAACAAAUUUGCAACAUAACAAACAAACAAGCUUCAAACUAACAUGGUUCAUGCAAUAUUCAAACUAAUUGCAGAUUUAUCAACAAAUCCCCAUCAUGAUUCAACAAAAGAUUGAAACUUUAUACAUUUUGUUAAGAAAAGUACCUUGACAGCAGCAAGAAAACAAACAGAAAGAAAAUAGGUCUCUGAAAAGUUGAGCGUGAAACAGCAGCAAAUCCAAACAGAAAACCAAAACCAGCUUCCAAAAACCCAGAAAUCCAGAAGAUAGUGUGAAAAACUCGUAGGAGUUCUUUGCUAAUAGUGAAAGAAAGAGACUCCGAAGUAGUGCAGAAUCAGUGUAUUUUUAGGUCUAAAAUGUAUAUCCAGCUCUGUGUAUAAUUAAAAGAAGGAGUGUAUUUAUAGAAUGUAUAAUGAAAAGAAAUUAGAAUUAAGGUACAAAGAAUCUGUCAGAAUUCCUUAUAAAUUAGGAAAAAUGGCAUCUUCUUUACAGAAAUGGACUGCUUCCCAAUUUCUAGUACCUUCCUUAUCUC